rnacentral:piRNA from 1 species
UACACAAUUAACGAGAAUCAC